GAAAUACUCCCUCCGUCCCAAAAUAAGUGUCUCACUAUAGUACAAAGUUGUACUAAGCUUAAGACACUUAUUUUGGGACGGAGGGAGUAAAAU
rnacentral:pre_miRNA from 1 species